rfam:Bacillus coagulans 36D1, complete genome.
UUCAUAUCAUCGCUCAAUUACAUGUUUAUGUAAACGGGGGAACCAACGGGUGCUUUGGGCACCAGGGGUGAAACCUUUCAUUGAAAGGUAGGGAAACUCUUUAUUCCCUAAUCCGUCAGCUAACCUCGUAAGCGUCUGGAGAGAACUG